GGAGAAGUAUCGAAGUGGUCAUAACGGGGCUGACUCGAAAUCAGUUGACGGUUUCAGGAUCGUCCGUGGGUUCGAAUCCCACCUUCUCCGCCA
rnacentral:tRNA from 1 species